rnacentral:rRNA from 1 species
UACGUAGGGUCCAAGCGUUAAUCGGAAUUACUGGGCGUAAAGCGUGCGCAGGUGGUUUGUUAAGCACGAUGUGAAAUCCCCGAGCUCAACUUGGGAAUUGCAUUGUGAACUGGCUAACUAGAGUACGGCAGAGGGGGGUGGAAUUCCGCGUGUAGCAGUGAAAUGCGUAGAUAUGCGGAGGAACACCGAUGGCGAAGGCAACCCCCUGGGCUGAUACUGACACUCAUGCACGAAAGCGUGGGGAGCAAACAGG